UCUAGAUAUUUAUUUAUUUAUUUUUUGUGUUCAUACAAUUUGAAUCAGACAUUGAUUACUUCAACUACAUCAAUGCAGAAAGUAGGUAGCUGCAAGAAAUUACUUUCAACUAAAUCAAUGCAGAAAGUAGAUAAAGGAUGAUAGCUGAUGGGAAUGAGGACAAGAUCAUAUUUCCUUCUCACAGUCACGGCAAAGGCCUCAGUCAUGUCUAAAUCUUCAUAAUUCAUUCCUCCAGGGAGCUUCCAAUCGAAAUAAUACAACAGUUGUGCCAACGGCGAUAUAAUAUUAGGUAUUUCAUACCCCUUGAUCACGCAGUCCUCAGAAGAUUCUCUUGGAACUAACAGAGGUGCAGAAGGGUGUAGCCUGAGUGUUUCUUUCACUACUGAUUCAAUAAACUUUAGCUCAUGAAGUUCUGUUUCGUCCACGUAUCCU